rnacentral:other from 1 species
AAUACCCUGCUUUGCGCGUGAUAGGCCUUUUAAAACCCAGCACAGUAUAUAAGGGAUUCCGGAACUCUUGCGGCGGAUUGCAGGCCUCCCGGGGCUGCACGCCUGGAGCAGCCCUGGACGUUGGAAGCAGAGAAACCGCAAGGAGGAAACCCACCUGCCGAGAGGCGGGUUUAUAAAACGGCCUACACGGCACGGCGGGGUAUGU